GGUAAUGUAGAUUACAGCAUGCCAAAUUUAAAGCAAAUCGAAUAAUUAAAGAUUCUCAUCUAAUACAUCUUAAUGCUGAACAUUUUAUUAAAUAUACUUAUAAUUCAAAAACAAAUUGUGCGUCAUAGAUAAAACACUUAUUCAUAUUAGACUAAAUAGAAAUUGGGCCAAUAUGAUUUACGUGUAUAUAAUAGUAAUCCAACCAUCAACAUGUAAAUCAUACAAAAGUUAUAGAACUGUAUAAAAACACUGUUAAAUUACACACAUAUUGACAUAUAUAAUGUGCCUAUUACCACUAUAAAUCAAAUUGUGUUGCAUAAAAUAGAAAACUUAC
rnacentral:misc_RNA from 1 species